UACGGGGGGAGCAAGCGUUGUUCGGAUUUACUGGGCGUAAAGGGCGCGUAGGCGGUCAGCACAAGUCAGUUGUGAAAUCUCCGGGCUUAACUCGGAAAGGUCAACUGAUACUGUGCGACUAGAGUGCAGAAGGGGCAACUGGAAUUCUCGGUGUAGCGGUGAAAUGCGUAGAUAUCGAGAGGAACACCUGCGGCGAAGGCGGGUUGCUGGGCUGACACGUGACGCUGGAGGCGCGAAAGCCAGGGGAGCGAACGGG
rnacentral:rRNA from 1 species